rnacentral:rRNA from 1 species
ACUUUUAACAACAGAUCUCUUAGUUCUAGCAUUAAUAAAGAACGCAGCAAAAUGCGAUAAGUAGUGUAAAUUAUAGAAUUUAGUAAAUUAUUAAAUCUUUAAACGCACAUUACGCCCCUUAGUAUUCUAUAAGGCAUGCCUGUUUAAGCGUUAUUUGUACCCUUAAGCUCUGCUUAGUGUUAGGUGUUUGUUCUACUUAGGACUCGCCUUAAAACAAUUAGCAGCUGGCACAUUAGCCUAGAGCGCAGCAUAUUUUACGCCUCUUAUUAUAAUUGUUAGUAUCUAUUAAGACACUUUUUAAGCUCUUAACCUUAGAUUAGGUAGGGAUACCUACUAAACUUAAGCAUAUUAAUAAGCAGAGGAAAAGAAACUAAUAGGGAUUGCCCUAGUAACGGCGAGUGAAGCGGCAACAGCUUAAAUUUAAAAUCUAGCUCUUUUAGGGUCUAAGUUGUAAUUUACAGAGGGCGCUUUAGCGUUAGCAGCAGUCUAAGUUCCUUAGAACAGGACGUUAUAAAGGGUAAGAAUCCUAUACGUAGUUACUAGCCUUCGCCGUGUAAAGCCCCUUUAACAAGUUAAGUUAUUUAGGAAUGCAGCUCUAAAUAGGAGGUAAAUUUCUUCUAAAGCUAAAUACUAGCUAGAGACUAAUAGCGUAUAAGUAGAGUAAUUAAAAGAUAAAAAGCACUUUAGAAAGAGAGUUAAAUAGCACGUGAAAUUGUUAAAAGGGAAGCGCUUACAGCUAGACUUACCUGUAGUUACUUAUCUAGGCUUUUAUCUAGUAUACUCUUCUAUAGGUAGGCUAGUAUUAGUUUAGGUAGUUAGAUAAAGGUCUCUAUUACGUACCUCCCUUUAGGGAGGCCUUAUAGGGGAGACGACAUGCAACUAGCCUAGACUAAGGUCCGCGUAUCUGCUAGGAUGCUAGCGUAAUAGCUAUAAGCGGCCCAUCUUAAAAUAUAGACUAAGGAGUCUAACAUCUAUGCAAGUAUUUAGGUAUUAAGCCUAGACGCGUGAUAAAAGUAAACAGAGGUGGGACCCCUUUUAGGGUGCACUAUUAACUAAUUCUAAUGUCUUUAGAAGGAUUUAAGUAAGAGCAUAGCUAUUAGGACCUAAAAGAUAGUAAACUAUGCUUAAAUAGGGUAAAGCUAGAGGAAACUCUAGUAGAGGCUUGCAGCAGUUCUAACGUGCAAAUUAAUUGUUAAAUUUAGGCAUAGGGGCAAAAGACUAAUUAAACUAUCUAGUAGCUAGUUCCUGCUAAAGUUUCCCUUAGGAUAGUAGUAACGUAUUUAGUUUUAUAAGGUAAAGCGAAUAAUUAGAGGCCUAGGGGUUAAAAUAACCUUUACCUAUUCUUAAACUUUAAAUAUAUAAGAAGUCCUUAUUACUUAAUUAAACGUAGACACUUAAAUAUACUAUUACUAGUAGGCUAUUUUUAGUAAGCAGAACUAGUAAUGCAGGAUAAACUAAACGCAGGGUUAAGGUGCUAGAAUACACGCUUAUUAGACACUACAAAAGGUGUUAGUUUAUCUAGAUAGCAGGACAGUAGCUAUAGAAGUUAGAAUCUACUAAGGAGUGUGUAACAACUUACCUACUAAAUAAACUAGCCCUAAAAAUAAAUAGCGCUUAAGCGUGUUACCUAUACCCCGCCGCUAGGGCAAGAUUUAAGCCCUAGCAAGUAGGUAGGCGUAGAGGCUUGUGACAAAGCCUUAGGGGUAACCCUAGGUAGAAUAGCCUCUAGUAUAGAUCUUAGUAGUAGUAGCAAAUACUUAAAUAAGAACUUUAAGGACUAAAGUAGGGAAAGGUUCUGUGUAAAUAGUAGUUAGACACAGGUUAGUUAAUCCUAAGAGAUAGGGUAAUUCUGUUUUAAUAUUAGUGCUUACGCUGCGCCCUUAAAAGGGAAGCUAGUUAAUAUUCUAGUACCUAGAUGUAGAUUCUCCGCAGCAACGCAACUAAGAGCGGAGACCUUAGCGGGAGCCCUAAGAAGAGUUCUCUUUUCUUCUUAACGGUCUGUUACCCUAAAAUUAGUUUAUCUAGAGCUAGGGUUUAAUAGCUAGAAGAGCGCUGCACUUUUGUAGCAUUUAGUGCGCUCCUAAUAAGCCUUAAAAAUCUGCUUAAAGAAAUAGUUUUUAUGCUAGGUCGUACUUAUAACCGCAGUAGGUCUCUAAGGUAAAAAGCCUCUAGUUAAUAGAAUAAUAUAGAUAAGGGAAGUUAGCAAAAUAGAUCUAUAACUUUAGGAAAAGGAUUAGCUCUAAGGGUUAGGUACGUUAGGCCUUAGGGAGAAGCCUCUAGCGUAGAAGGGCACUAACCGCAAGGUAGGCGCCUCUUAGCGCUAGGGUAUAGACACCCUUAGCAGGUUUUAGCUGUCUAGCGUAUAUUUAAUAACUAACUUAGAACUAGUAUAGAUAAGGGGAAUCUAACUAUCUAAUUAAAACAUAGUAUUAUAAUAGCUAGAAAGUAGUGUUAACGUAAUGUGAUUUCUGCCUAGUGCUCUAAAUAUUAAAGCGAAGAGAUUUAACUAAGCGCAGGUAAAUAGCAGGAGUAACUAUAACUCUCUUAAGGUAGCUAAAUGCCUUGUUAUCUAAUUAGUAACACGCAUAAAUAGAUUAAUAAGAUUCCUACUAUCCUUAUCUACUAUCUAGCGAAACUAUAGCUAAGGGAACGGGCUUAGCCAAAUCAGUGGGGAAAGAAGACCCUGUUAAGCUUAACUCUAGUUUAAUAUUGUGAAAAGACAUAGGGGGUGUAGAAUAGGUAGGAGCUUUAGCGCUAGUAAAAUACCACUACCCUUAUCGUUUUUUUACUUAUUUAAUAAAGCGGAGCUAGGCCUUACUACCUAACUUCUAGCGUUUAAGGUCCUUUGUAGGCUAAUCUAGGUUAAAGAUAUUGUUAGGUAGGGAGUUUAGCUAGGGCGGCACAUCUAUUAAACUAUAACGCAGGUGUCCUAAGGGGGACUUAUAGAGAAUAGAAAUCUCUAGUAGAGCAAAAGGGUAAAAGUCCCCUUGAUUUUAAUUUUUAGUGUGAAUACAAACUAUAAAAGUGUGGCCUAUUAAUCCUUUAGUCCCUUAAAAUUUAAGGCUAGAGGUGCUAGAAAAGUUACUACAGGGAUAACUGGCUUGUGGUAGCUAAGCGUUUAUAGCGACGUUACUUUUUAAUCCUUUAAUAUUAGCUCUUCCUAUUAUACUAAAGUAGAAUUUAGUAAGCGUUAGAUUAUUCACCUACUAAUAGGGAACGUGAGCUAGGUUUAGACUGUUAUAAGAUAGGUUAGUUUUACCCUACUAAUAACCUUACCCUAAUAGUAAUACCGCUUAGUACGAGAGGAACUGCGGUUUUAGAUAAUUAGUUUUUGCGGCUGUCUAACUAGGCAUUACCGCGAAGCUACUAUCUGCUAGAUUAUAGCUAAACGCCUCUAAGUUAGAAUCUAUGCUAGAAUAGGGUAAUUUCUGCCUACACUAGUUAGAUACAAAUAGGCCUUUGGCCCAGAACCUUACUAGAUCAGCGUUAGCAGCCCUAUUAAAGUUAGAGUUGUUAGCUAGUGUAUUGCAAUUGUAUAGUACGCAGGAUUAAAUCCUUUAUAGAUAACUUAGUUGUCUAGCUAGGUCGUGUAAGUAGUUAAGUAGCCUUGUUGUUACGAGCUACUAAGCGUAAGCCUGUUGCUAGCUUGGUUAAAAUUAGGAUAUUAUACCCUCCUUAUUUGUAAAACUGCUACCUAAACAGCUGCUAUUAAUAGAAGGAAGAGGGCUAUAGCUAACAUGUUAUAUAGCAAUUGCAAGAUAGCGAGGGCUAGAGCUAGAAGCAAUCCUUACAAAAUAUACAAAAGAAUAGGUUAUGUGUGUACGUACCUUAGGCAGUUAAAUUAUAGCAUAUAAAGAUUAAGAAAGGACAUAAAAUAAUCUAUACAUAUUUGUAGGUGGUGUUCUAUAACUUAGGGCGUUCUAUAACCCUUUAUUUUUUAGGGGUAGUGUUCUAUAACUUAGGGCGUUCUAUACUUAAAAAAUCUUAUAGGCUAUUCUAUAACUAUAGAUUAUUCUAAACCUUUAGGGCAUUCUAUUAAUGUUUUAAAAAAUCUAGUAGGCUAUUUUAUAAGCUUAUAGCGUUCUAUAACUUUAGGGCGUUCUAUAACUUAGGGCGUUCUGAUAACUUAGGGCGUUCUAUAACUUUUUACUUCUUAGGGGUAGUGUUCUAUAACUUAGGGCGUUCUAUACUUAAAAAAUCUUAUAGGCUAUUCUAUAACUAUAGAUUAUUCUAAACCUUUAGGGCAUUCUAUUAAUGUUUUAAAAAAUCUAGUAGGCUAUUUUAUAAGCUUAUAGCGUUCUAUAACUUUAGGGCGUUCUAUAACUUAGGGCGUUCUAUAACCUUUUACUUCUUAGGGGUAGUGUUCUAUAACUUAGGGCGUUCUAUAAGCUUUUAUUUUUUAGGGGUAGUGUUCUAUAACUUAGGGCGUUCUAUAACUUUUUAUUUUUAGGGGUAGUGUUCUAUAACUUAGGGCGUUCUAUACUUAAAAAAUCUUAUAGGCUAUUCUAUAACUAUAGAUUAUUCUAAACCUUUAGGGCAUUCUAUUAAUAUUUUAAAAAAUCUAGUAGGCUAUUUUAUAAGCUUAUAGCGUUCUAUAACUUUAGGGCGUUCUAUAACUUAGGGCGUUCUAUAACUUAGGGCGUUCUAUAACCUUUUAUUUUUUAGGGGUAGUGUUCUAUAACUUAGGGCGUUCUAUAACUUUUUAUUUUUAGGGGUAGUGUUCUAUAACUUAGGGCGUUCUAUACCUUUUGUUUAUUCUAUUACUUUAGUGCUUUCUAUAACUUUAGACUAUUCUAUAAUAGUAGCUAUUAUAUCCUUUUUAUAAUCCUUAUAGUAUUAUACUAUUAUCUAUUAUUCUUUACUCUUAAGUAUAUCCUUAUAUUUUAUAAAUCUUUUUCUUUACUAGCUAGUCCUACUAUACUUUUUUAUAACCUACUAGUAUUAAAUAAUACCUUUAUAUUCUUCCUCUAUACUAUCUCUAUUUCUUGCCUUAUAUAUUAAGUAGAUAUAGAUAGAGCUAAUAGAUCUAUAGUUAAUAUAGAUAAAGUAGUUAUAGUAGAGUAUAGAUAUUAGAGUAGAGAUCCUUAUCUAUAUAUUUACCUACUACUAAUAGAAUUCUAAGUUGCUCUUAUCUAGCGAAUACGGGUUUAUGGUUUGUAUAGGGCUACGUAUGUCUACACGGUUUUACAUACAAAAAAGUAUACCUCUAAGCUAUUUUCUACUGCACUAACCCCGCAACGUGAAAAUUAAACCAAAACCUGUUCCUAUAAUAUAUAAGGAGGGCAAAUAGAUUCUUAAAUACUAAAUACCUAACUAACUAACUAAGGUUAAAUCUGCUGCGCGUAGUUCUUAGAUUAGGCGGUUAAACUAGCGUCGUUAGGCACUAAGGGGGCAAUUUUUGCUCGUGUCUGCGUCUAUACUCCCUAUAACUCCCUAUUAUUAGCGCUCUGCGCCUGUUUUAGCGGCAGUUAGACUAAAUUUAAAAGUUUUAGUUUUAUAAUAGCUAGCCUUGUUUCCUAGAUUUCUGCCUAGUUUAGAUUCGCUCUAAUUAGUAGGUAAUUAGGGGCUUAGAGAUUACUCUUCUACUUAACUAGGCAGGCCUAGGCCUAUAUGCUAAAGCAACCCUGCUAUUGCGCCUAGUUUUGUAGUUAGCACCUAAAGUCCUACUAUUAAAGUUUUAGCAGUAGGCAAAAUUUAGGGUCUAUAGAUAGCUAGCACUGCUAAACUAUUUAACAGAUCUUAGGGGACAGCCCUGCCUAGCAUCUGCUCCUAGUAAGCGUGGCAAAGCGUAGGUUUUCUCUACUUAAGGCAUGUAUGUAGCGAGUUUAAACACGCGGAAACGCCUAUUAGGCUUUGUUGCGGACUAUUCCUUAAGAAACUUAGUAGGGGCAAUUAAAUUAGUUGCUAGUUAUAACUAGUGCCUUGUGUGCUAUUAUACUAGUAGCUAGAAUCGCUUCUGUAAUUUCUUAUCACGUACUUUCUACCUCCUUUUAGGGGUAGUGCUUGUGCGCUUUAGCGUAUUAGGCAUUAGGAUUGUUACCUAGUUAAUUCUGCUAGUAGUUAUAUGCUUGUCUUAAAGAUUAAGCUAUAUAUAUCUAAGUAUAAGCAAUUAUACCAUAAAACUGCAAAUAGCUUAUUAAAUUAGUUAUCGUUUAUUUAAUAGUACCUUACUACUUAGAUAACUAUAGUAAUUCUAGAGCUAAUACAUGCUAAAAACCCUAACUUUAGAAGGUUUGGCGCCAACAAUUAGAUAAAAAACCAACGCCCUUUAGGGCUUCUUAGUGAUUUAUAAUAACUUUACGGAUUAUAUAGCCUUACGCUAGCGACAGUUUAUUUAAAUUUCUGCCCUAUUAACUUUU